rnacentral:rRNA from 1 species
CCUGAAACCGUGUACGUACAAGCAGUGGGAGCCUCUUUAUGGGGUGACUGCGUACCUUUUGUAUAAUGGGUCAGCGACUUAUAUUCUGUAGCAAGGUUAACCGAAUAGGGGAGCCGAAGGGAAACCGAGUCUUAACUGGGCGUUAAGUUGCAGGGUAUAGACCCGAAACCCGGUGAUCUAGCCAUGGGCAGGUUGAAGGUUGGGUAACACUAACUGGAGGACCGAACCGACUAAUGUUGAAAAAUUAGCGGAUGACUUGUGGCUGGGGGUGAAAGGCCAAUCAAACCGGGAGAUAGCUGGUUCUCCCCGAAAGCUAUUUAGGUAGCGCCUCGUGAAUUCAUCUCCGGGGGUAGAGCACUGUUUCGGCAAGGGGGUCAUCCCGACUUACCAACCCGAUGCAAACUGCGAAUACCGGAGAAUGUUAUCACGGGAGACACACGGCGGGUGCUAACGUCCGUCGUGAAGAGGGAAACAACCCAGACCGCCAGCUAAGGUCCCAAAGUCAUGGUUAAGUGGGAAACGAUGUGGGAAGGCCCAGACAGCCAGGAUGUUGGCUUAGAAGCAGCCAUCAUUUAAAGAAAGCGUAAUAGCUCACUGGUCGAGUCGGCCUGCGCGGAAGAUGUAACGGGGCUAAACCAUGCACCGAAGCUGCGGCAGCGACACUAUGUGUUGUUGGGUAGGGGAGCGUUCUGUAAGCCUGUGAAGGUGGCCUGUGAGGGUUGCUGGAGGUAUCAGAAGUGCGAAUGCUGACAUAAGUAACGAUAAAGCGGGUGAAAAGCCCGCUCGCCGGAAGACCAAGGGUUCCUGUCCAACGUUAAUCGGGGCAGGGUGAGUCGACCCCUAAGGCGAGGCCGAAAGGCGUAGUCGAUGGGAAACAGGUUAAUAUUCCUGUACUUGGUGUUACUGCGAAGGGGGGACGGAGAAGGCUAUGUUGGCCGGGCGACGGUUGUCCCGGUUUAAGCGUGUAGGCUGGUUUUCCAGGCAAAUCCGGAAAACCAAGGCUGAGGCGUGAUGACGAGGCACUACGGUGCUGAAGCGACAAAUGCCCUGCUUCCAGGAAAAGCCUCUAAGCAUCAGGUAACAUCAAAUCGUACCCCAAACCGACACAGGUGGUCAGGUAGAGAAUACCAAGGCGCUUGAGAGAACUCGGGUGAAGGAACUAGGCAAAAUGGUGCCGUAACUUCGGGAGAAGGCACGCUGAUAUGUAGGUGAAGCGACUUGCUCGUGGAGCUGAAAUCAGUCGAAGAUACCAGCUGGCUGCAACUGUUUAUUAAAAACACAGCACUGUGCAAACACGAAAGUGGACGUAUACGGUGUGACGCCUGCCCGGUGCCGGAAGGUUAAUUGAUGGGGUUAGCGGUAACGCGAAGCUCUUGAUCGAAGCCCCGGUAAACGGCGGCCGUAACUAUAACGGUCCUAAGGUAGCGAAAUUCCUUGUCGGGUAAGUUCCGACCUGCACGAAUGGCGUAAUGAUGGCCAGGCUGUCUCCACCCGAGACUCAGUGAAAUUGAACUCGCUGUGAAGAUGCAGUGUACCCGCGGCAAGACGGAAAGACCCCGUGAACCUUUACUAUAGCUUGACACUGAACAUUGAGCCUUGAUGUGUAGGAUAGGUGGGAGGCUUUGAAGUGUGGACGCCAGUCUGCAUGGAGCCGACCUUGAAAUACCACCCUUUAAUGUUUGAUGUUCUAACGUUGGCCCGUAAUCCGGGUUGCGGACAGUGUCUGGUGGGUAGUUUGACUGGGGCGGUCUCCUCCUAAAGAGUAACGGAGGAGCACGAAGGUUGGCUAAUCCUGGUCGGACAUCAGGAGGUUAGUGCAAUGGCAUAAGCCAGCUUGACUGCGAGCGUGACGGCGCGAGCAGGUGCGAAAGCAGGUCAUAGUGAUCCGGUGGUUCUGAAUGGAAGGGCCAUCGCUCAACGGAUAAAAGGUACUCCGGGGAUAACAGGCUGAUACCGCCCAAGAGUUCAUAUCGACGGCGGUGUUUGGCACCUCGAUGUCGGCUCAUCACAUCCUGGGGCUGAAGUAGGUCCCAAGGGUAUGGCUGUUCGCCAUUUAAAGUGGUACGCGAGCUGGGUUUAGAACGUCGUGAGACAGUUCGGUCCCUAUCUGCCGUGGGCGCUGGAGAACUGAGGGGGGCUGCUCCUAGUACGAGAGGACCGGAGUGGACGCAUCACUGGUGUUCGGGUUGUCAUGCCAAUGGCACUGCCCGGUAGCUAAAUGCGGAAGAGAUAAGUGCUGAAAGCAUCUAAGCACGAAACUUGCCCCGAGAUGAGUUCUCCCUGAGACUUAGAGUCUCCUGAAGGAACGUUGAAGACGACGACGUUGAUAGGCCGGGUGUGUAAGCGCAGCGAUGCGUUGAGCUAACCGGUACUAAUGAACCGUGAGGCUUAACC